rnacentral:lncRNA from 1 species
GCACUCUGAAGACAAAGAUCCUAUGUGCUGGUUUGAUACGGCUAAGAAAAUGAUGAGGAACACUAGGAAGGAACAAAAGAAAACAUGUUCUUUUUGUAGGAAAUGGUGAUAUGUCCCCCUUUGCGGAAUUAGCCCCAAAGACUAAGGAGUCUUACCAUCUCUAUAAAAUAGGAUGAUAAUUGUGUUUCUCAAAGUGGUAAGGAUUGAAUGAGAAACUGCAAGUAAAACUUUAGGCAUAGUUAUAGGCACCAGUAAUCAUACCAAAAAUGUAAACUAUCACUAUUUUAUCUUUCUUAUUCUUUUUUUGUUUGUUUGUUUGUUUGUUUGUUUUUGGGUUUUUUUGUUUUUUUUUUUUUUGUCUUUUUGCCAUUUCUUGGGCCACUCCCAGGCUAGUGGUCGAAUCGGAGCUGUAGCCACUGGCCUACGCCACAGCCACAGCAACGCAGAAUCCGAGCCGCGUCUGUGAUCCACACCACAGCUCACGGCAAUGCCGGAUCUUUUAACCCACAGAGCAAGGCCAGGGAUCGAACCCACAACCUCAUGGUUCCUAGUCAGAUUAGCUAACCACUGAGCCACUACGGGAACUCCUCUUUUUCUUUUUUUGCUUUUUUUUUUUUUGGCUGCAUCCACGGCAUGUGGAAGUUCCUGGGCCAGGAAUCCAACCUGUGCAGCAAUGCCCAAUCUUUAACCCACAAGGGAAUUUGCUGUUUCUUUUAUUUUUAUGCUCCUUGUUACCUACCCUCACUCCCAAAUCCACCUUCUGAUGGUCAGUUGAUUAGAUUCAUUAAUAGAAUUAAUAGAAUUACUGACCAGACUUUCCUUGGCCUGGGAGAAAAGUGUACUUUGUACUAUAGUUCUCAGGAGAACCAAGAUCUCCUUUAGUUCUCACUGUUGCCCCCAUGUAAAGCUUGCAAUAAUUUUGAUUUAGGUGUUUUUUUGCGGGGGAGGGGGGGACUCAUUAAGCAAGAGAAUCAACAAAUUGAGGAGAAAUGUGCUAAUUUUCUAAGUUAACAAUAAGCAAGACUCUUCCCACCCACUUUGAGGGUAAAACCUAGAGCUACACCUGAAUACUCCCAUCGCCUCUGUAUCUACUGAGGACAUGUGUGACAUAACCCAAUUUAGCAGACGUUUAUUGAAUACCUGCUGUGUUCGGCUCCCUGUCUAGGCACUAGAGGAUACAAAGGUGAUCCAAGAUGUGUUUCUCGAGUUUAAUGGUCAGAAUGGUUAGAAAAAAAAAA